ensembl:scaRNA Gm23557 predicted gene, 23557
UGGACAUUUAUAUUGGCAGAUUCUUCUUGAGGUGAAGAUAAUGUUUUUUUUUUUUUUAAUGAAUGUCCUAGAGAAAUAAAAUAGCUUUGUGUUCAUCCUUUUUGAGAAGAGAGGGUGAAUCAUACCUCUACUGACAUUC